CGUGGGAAUGUGAUUGGCCGUCGGUUCCCGCGGAAAUCAUGGUUCCCUCCCCGACACCUCCCACUCCGCCUUCCUGGCCUAUUACAAGAACUGUACGAAGACGGGUGUGGCCCGAAUUUUCAUUUUAUUGAACUGUUGGGGCCAGGGUAAGGAAGAAGCGGAGAGCACUAGAAGGCGCCAGACACCCGUUCAGCGACUGAAGGCCUGAGUGGGGAGCGCACCACUGAGGAGGAUUCUCUGGACCACCACCUCAUCUCACCCUCAAUCUAACUAUGGAAAUAAUGGAUAUGGGUAACAGAAGAAAGCAGAGCCUGUAUAUCUGAGGGAACGGGAGAACACGGGGAGAAUGGGAACACAGUGUAUCCCUCCAAUCCUGCCCACCCCAACUCACCGUGCACUGCUGGAGGACCCUGGGCUCUCCGUCUGCACUGAUCGGAACACCCAUUCCAGAAAACAGGCCAGGAGGCAGGCAAACAAGAAGAAGCCACCCAAGGUCAGAAAGAAAUAAGCAGCAGGGGUGAUGUCUGGCCGUAUGCCCAGCAAAGCCAGCCCCAGGAGGAAGGAGGCGCAGCACAGGUAGAGAAGCGGCUUCUCCAGUCUCCCCCACCACUGGCUUGGCACCAUGGCCCCUCCCCAGGCUCCUGCAAAAAGAUACACAGCUGUUGUGUCUAAACUAGCAAGUGGCAUCAUGGCUGAGUCAGAUUCCAAGACACCUUUCUGGGGUUUUAGGUUCUUCAAUCUCGAAUCAAAUAAAUGGGCAAAAUAAAUGAUCAGCAAGAUA